UACAGAGGGUGCUAGCGUUAAUCGGAUUUACUGGGCGUAAAGCGUGCGUAGGCGGUUUAAUAAGUCGAUUGUGAAAGCCCCGGGCUCAACCUGGGAAUUGCGGUCGAUACUGUCAGACUCGAAAACGGUAGAGGGAGGCGGAACUCCAGGUGUAGCGGUGAAAUGCGUAGAUAUCUGGAAGAACACCGAUGGCGAAGGCAACCUCCUGGGCCUGUUUUGACGCUGAGGCACGAAAGCGUGGGUAGCAAAC
rnacentral:rRNA from 1 species